GGGUCGUUAGCUCAGGUGGUAGAGCAUCGGACUUUUAAUCCGCUGGUCGCAGGUUCGAAUCCUGCACGACCCACCA
rnacentral:tRNA from 1 species